GUGGGUGUAGUGUAGUGGUUAACACGUCUGGUUGUGGCCCAGAAGAUCGAGGGUUCGAGUCCCUCCAUCCACCCCA
rnacentral:tRNA from 1 species